rnacentral:rRNA from 1 species
GACGAACGCUGGCGGCGCGCCUAACACAUGCAAGUCGAACGGGAUCUUUUAGGAAGCUUGCUUCUUGGCUGAUCUAGUGGCGGACGGGUGAGUAACACGUGAGCAACCUGCCGAAGAGUGGGGGAUAACGUUUGGAAACGAACGCUAAUACCGCAUAACAUCGAGGGAAGGCAUCUUCUUUCGAUCAAAGGAGUAAUCCGCUUUUAGAUGGGCUCGCGUCCGAUUAGAUAGUUGGCGGGGUAACGGCCCACCAAGUCGACGAUCGGUAGCCGGACUGAGAGGUUGAACGGCCACAUUGGGACUGAGACACGGCCCAGACUCCUACGGGAGGCAGCAGUGGGGAAUAUUGCACAAUGGGGGAAACCCUGAUGCAGCGACGCCGCGUGAGUGAAGACGGCCUUCGGGUUGUAAAGCUCUGUUGUGGGGGACGAUAAUGACGGUACCCCAUUAGAAAGCCACGGCUAACUACGUGCCAGCAGCCGCCGUAAAAC